rnacentral:lncRNA from 1 species
UCUCCACAGAACCUGCAAAAAGCUUCAUACCAUUGCCUGGAUAAGUAGUCGGAGCGUGAAUGAGACGGCCAGCAACAUUCAUCUCGUUCAAUCGGCAAACACCACUGCCUCCAGGAAUGUGUGAGCAAGGUGAACCAUCGGAUGGAGGCACGGGACCUCUUUGUAAUAACUCAAACUCUGGAACAUAUUUCUUAAACAGUUGGUCUCCAUGUAAAGGCCUUGUGGCUGCACAGAAUUGAACUAAUGUACCAUAACUAAAAAGAAUAGUUAGUGCAAACAAAAAAGUCAACAGGCUUCUUAUGAUAUGAAACUCCAUUUUCUUUUUCUUUUUUGUUAGUCUUUGGGCGAAUGUCGAAUUGAAUUGCGAAGAGAAUCUUGUGAUGGAAAUUUAAGUUUUAUGAAGAUUGUUUUGGAAUGUGUUUGUAUAAACGUUUUAAUUAGUUUAUAUAGGAAGUGAUAUCUCUU